CCUACGGGUGGCAGCAGUCGAGAAUCAUUCACAAUGGGGGAAACCCUGAUGGGGCGACGCCGCGUGGGGGAAUGAAGGUCUUCGGAUUGUAAACCCCUGUCAUGUGGGAGCAAAUUAAAAAGAGAGUACCACAAGAGGAAGAGACGGCGCACUCUGAGCCAGCAGCCGCGGUAAUACAGAGGUCUCAAGCGGUGUCCGGAAUCACUGGGCGUAAAGGGUGCGGAGGCUGUUUCGUAAGACGUGUGUGAAAGGCGCGGGCUCACCCCGCGGACGGCACAUGAUACUGCGAGACUAGAGUAAUGGAGCGGGAACCGGAAUUCUCGGUGUAGCAGUGAAAUGCGUAGAUAUCGCG
rnacentral:rRNA from 1 species